rnacentral:rRNA from 1 species
GAUCAUGGCUCAGGAUGAACGCUAGCUACAGGCUAACACAUGCAAGGUCGAGGGGCAGCAUAUUGGUAGCUUGCUAUCAAUGAUGGCGACCGGCGCACGGGUGAGUAACGCGUAUCCAACCUUCCCCAUAGUAGGGCAUAGCCCGUAGAAAUGCGGAUUAAUACCCUAUGUUUUCCGAAGAUGACAUCUGAUUCGGAACAAAGGUUCACCGCUAUGGGAUGGGGAUGCGUCUGAUUAGGUAGUCGGCGGGGUAACGGCCCACCGAGCCGACGAUCAGUAGGGUUCUGAGAGGAAGGUCCCCCACAUUGGAACUGAGACACGGUCCAAACUCCUACGGGAGGCAGCAGUGAGGAAUAUUGGUCAAUGGGCGCGAGCCUGAACCAGCCAAGUAGCGUGCAGGAUGACGGCCCUAUGGGUUGUAAACUGCUUUUAUACAGGGAUAAAGUCGGGGACGUGUUCCCCGUUUGCAGGUACUGUAUGAAUAAGGACCGGCUAAUUCCGUGCCAGCCGCAGC